GCCAGACUCCUACGGGAGGCAGCAGUGGGGGAUAUUGCACAAUGGGGGAAACCCUGAUGCAGCGACGCCGCGUGUGGGAAGACGGUCCUCUGGAUUGUAAACCACUGUCCCCAGGGACGAAGAUGACGGUACCUGGGGAGGAAGCUCCGGCUAACUACGUGCCAGCAGCCGCGGUAAUACGUAGGGAGCGAGCGUUGUCCGGAAUUACUGGGUGUAAAGGGAGCGUAGGCGGGACUGCAAGUUGGGUGUCAAAUCUGCCGGCUCAACCGGUAGCCGCACUCAAAACUGCAGUUCUUGAGUGAAGUAGAGGCAGGCGGAAUUCCUAGUGUAGCGGUGAAAUGCGUAGAUAUCAGGAGGAACACCGGUGGCGAAGGCGGCCUGCUGGACUGCGACUGACGUUGAGGCCCGAAAGCGUGGGGAGCAAACAGGAUUAGAUACCCUAGUA
rnacentral:rRNA from 1 species